rnacentral:rRNA from 1 species
CGUCGUGAGACAGUUCGGUCCCUAUCUGCCGUGGGCGCUGGAGAACUGAGGGGGGCUGCUCCUAGUACGAGAGGACCGGAGUGGACGCAUCACUGGUGUUCGGGUUGUCAUGCCAAUGGCACUGCCCGGUAGCUAAAUGCGGAAGAGAUAAGUGCUGAAAGCAUCUAAGCACGAAACUUGCCCCGAGAUGAGUUCUCCCUGACCCUUUAAGGGUCCUGAAGGAACGUUGAAGACGACGACGUUGAUAGGCCGGGUGUGUAAGCGCAGCGAUGCGUUGAGCUAACCGGUACUAAUGAACCGUGAGGCUUAACCUUACAACGCCGAAGCUGUU